GGGGAGCCAUGCCCUGAGGGAGGGGAGCCAUGCACGAGCAGCUUCGGGUGACAGCGGCUCGCUUCAAGAGCAGGUGAAGCAAUUUGGGACAAUGCUGAAGAUGUUUGCUCGCACUGGGCAAUCAGGUGCAGAUCAGACCCUAGUGCUGCGACGUCUUGGAGAGUUUGGCGAUGUUGUGCGUAGCAUGGAAAACAAAAUGGACACUAUGCUGCAACAUUUCAGUGCCAAUGUGUCUGUUGGAGAGCUAUCCCUGCCAGGGGAUGUUACUCCCCCUAGACACCCAGGAAGAUUUGGUGUUUCUUGACAGCAUUUUGAGGGAGGAUAAAGAGCUCCAGGAACGAUUUCUUCGGUUUUUGGCUAUCAAAUGUGGGAGGGACCUGAAGACAACAGUGUGGAGAAUGCUUCAGAGUAUUUUCUCUAAUAACCUUGCCGUUAAUACAACCUGGACUGGUAUAGGGGUUAAAACCUGUUUUAGAGACCUGUUCCUGAAGACCAUUGUUCAAAGUAAUUUUUUUAAGUAGAUGCCCUUAUGCCUUAUGCCAUUCAAAUGUAAUGACAGAUCUGUAUUUU